UGGGGAAUAUUGCACAAUGGGCGAAAGCCUGAUGCAGCAACGCCGCGUGAGUGAUGAAGGUCUUCGGAUUGUAAAGCUCUGUCUUUUGGGACGAUAAUGACGGUACCAAAGGAGGAAGCCACGGCUAACUACGUGCCAGCAGCCGCGGUAAUACGUAGGUGGCGAGCGUUGUCCGGAUUUACUGGGCGUAAAGGGUGCGUAGGCGGAUGUUUAAGUGAGAUGUGAAAUACCCGGGCUUAACUUGGGUGCUGCAUUUCAAACUGGAUAUCUAGAGUGCAGGAGAGGAGAAUGGAAUUCCUAGUGUAGCGGUGAAAUGCGUAGAGAUUAGGAAGAACACCAGUGGCGAAGGCGAUUCUCUGGACUGUAACUGACGCUGAGGCACGAAAAGCGUGGGUAGCAAACAGGAUUAGAUACCCUGGUAGUCCACGCCGUAAAACGAUGAGUACUAGGUGUAGGAGGUAUCGACCCCUUCUGUGCCGCAGU
rnacentral:rRNA from 1 species